rnacentral:rRNA from 1 species
GAGCUUGCUCCCGGAUGUUAGCGGCGGACGGGUGAGUAACACGUGGGUAACCUGCCUGUAAGACUGGGAUAACUCCGGGAAACCGGAGCUAAUACCGGAUAGUUCCUUGAACCGCAUGGUUCAAGGAUGAAAGACGGUUUCGGCUGUCACUUACAGAUGGACCCGCGGCGCAUUAGCUAGUUGGUGAGGUAACGGCUCACCAAGGCGACGAUGCGUAGCCGACCUGAGAGGGUGAUCGGCCACACUGGGACUGAGACACGGCCCAGACUCCUACGGGAGGCAGCAGUAGGGAAUCUUCCGCAAUGGACGAAAGUCUGACGGAGCAACGCCGCGUGAGUGAUGAAGGUUUUCGGAUCGUAAAGCUCUGUUGUUAGGGAAGAACAAGUGCAAGAGUAACUGCUUGCACCUUGACGGUACCUAACCAGAAAGCCACGGCUAACUACGUGCCAGCAGCCGCGGUAAUACGUAGGUGGCAAGCGUUGUCCGGAAUUAUUGGGCGUAAAGGGCUCGCAGGCGGUUUCUUAAGUCUGAUGUGAAAGCCCCCGGCUCAACCGGGGAGGGUCAUUGGAAACUGGGAAACUUGAGUGCAGAAGAGGAGAGUGGAAUUCCACGUGUAGCGGUGAAAUGCGUAGAGAUGUGGAGGAACACCAGUGGCGAAGGCGACUCUCUGGUCUGUAACUGACGCUGAGGAGCGAAAGCGUGGGGAGCGAACAGGAUUAGAUACCCUGGUAGUCCACGCCGUAAACGAUGAGUGCUAAGUGUUAGGGGGUUUCCGCCCCUUAGUGCUGCAGCUAACGCAUUA